rnacentral:rRNA from 1 species
UAUACCGUGAAACUGCGAAUGGCUCAUUAAAUCAGUUAUCGUUUAUUUGAUAGUACCUUACUACUUGGACAACCGUGGUAAUUCUAGAGCUAAUACAUGCUGACAACCUCGACUUACGAAGGGGUGUAUUUAUUAGAUAAAAAACCAACGCCCUUCGGGGCUUCUUGGUGAUUCAUAAUAACUUUACGGAUCGCAUGGCCUUGCGCCGGCGACGGGUUCAUUCAAAUUUCUGCCCUAUCAACUUUCGAUGGUAAGGUAUUGGCUUACCAUGGUUUCAACGGGUAACGGGGAAUUAGGGUUCGAUUCCGGAGAGGGAGCCCGAGAAACGGCUACCACAUCCAAGGAAGGCAGCAGGCGCGCAAAUUACCCAAUCCCGAUACGGGGAGGUAGUGACAAUAAAUACUGAUACAGGGCUCUUUUGGGUCUUGUAAUUGGAAUGAGUACAAUUUAAACCUCUUAACGAGGAACAAUUGGAGGGCAAGUCUGGUGCCAGCAGCCGCGGUAAUUCCAGCUCCAAUAGCGUAUAUUAAAGUUGUUGCAGUUAAAAAGCUCGUAGUUGAACCUUGGGUCUGGCUGGCAGGUCCGCCUCACCGCGUGUACUUGUCCGGCCGGGCCUUCCUUCUGGAGAACCUCAUGCCCUUCACUGGGCGUGUUGGGGACCAGGACUUUUACUUUGAAAAAAUUAGAGUGUUCAAAGCAGGCCUUUGCUCGAAUACGUUAGCAUGGAAUAAUAGAAUAGGACGUGCGGUCCUAUUUUGUUGGUUUCUAGGACCGCCGUAAUGAUUAAUAGGGACAGUCGGGGGCAUCAGUAUUCAAUUGUCAGAGGUGAAAUUCUUGGAUUUAUUGAAGACUAACUACUGCGAAAGCAUUUGCCAAGGAUGUUUUCAUUAAUCAGUGAACGAAAGUUAGGGGAUCGAAGACGAUCAGAUACCGUCGUAGUCUUAACCGUAAACUAUGCCGACUAGGGAUCGGGCGAUGUUAUUUUUCUGACUCGCUCGGCACCUUACGAGAAAUCAAAGUUUUUGGG